UUAAGGAAGAAUUUAAUUUUGGUUCUGAUUGAACGUUAUUCAGUAGUUUAAGACAUGCAAAUCAAUUGUUUUUUAUUUUUCAUAAAUUUUGUAUUUAUUUGAAAAAGGAAAUAAGGUGUAGAGGUGAGUAAUGAUAAAUAAGAUACCUUAUAGACUCUGCUAAAAUCGGGGAUAGUAAUAAGAAUUGACUUUUUUUAUUGUGAAAGGAACUUUUCCGCUAUAAGAUUCUAUUUAUUUUGAUUAGGUAGUUGGUAGGGUAAAGGCCUACCAAGCCAACAAUCGAUAGCCAAGUUUGACAGAACCUCUGGCCACAUUGGGGCUGAAAUCUCCCAAGUAGUUUUAUACUACCUGCAGUCAAGAAUAUUAGUCAAUGCUCGCAAGAGUGAACUAGCUAACUGAAAUCGCAAUUGUGUCAAUUGUGAUAAGGUAAGUGAAAAUCAUGAUAUUAGCUUACUAUUAGUGUUGUCCAAAUCUGGUGCCAGAAGACUCGGUAAGGCCAGAGACGCAAACGUUAGUCGUCCUAAUCAGGCGUAAAGGGUUUGUAGGCUGCUUUAAAAUUCUUAUGUUUUUCUUAGUCAAGAUUAUAAAAAUAUAAGUUGAAUUAAAGCUAGAAUCUGAUAGAGGAUAAAUAAAUAAUACUUAGUGUAAGGUUGAAAUCUGCAGAAACUAAGUAGAGUACCAAUGGUGCAAACUAUUAAUCUAUUACAGAUUGACGCUGAGAAACGAAGGAAAGGGUACCGAACGGGAUUAGAGACCCCUCUAGGCCUUUCUGUCAACGAUGAACGGUGGUUUCGCUAAUUGUCUAACAUUUUUUAAAUAUAAAAAAAAUUAAUACAAAUUAUUAAUUAGUUAGUUAUAAUUGGUAGCGAUGUUAACACGAUAACCGUUCCGCCUUGUGAGUACGACUGCAAAGUUGAAAACAAAAAAAUUAGUCGGUUUCGAAGCAAACGAAGUGAAGCAUGUUAUUUAAUACGAUAAUCCGCGUACAACCUUACCAGUUCUUGCAUCUAACAUCAUGUUUACAUGGUGAUGUAUUUAAAUAUUAAUAUUUAAAGUACUAAAUUGACAGGUGUUGCAUGGCUGUCGUCAGUCCGUGUCGUGAGAAGUUAGGUUAAAUCCACUAACGGGCGAAAUCCCUAUUAUUAAUUUAAACUUAAUAAUUAAUGGUAAUGAAAAAUUAUCAUUUUGGGGCGAAGACAAGUCUUUAUGGCCCUUAUGAACUGGGCUAUAGACGUGCCACAAAAACUUUUACAAAGUGAUGCGAUACUUUUCUUACGUUUUAAGAAAUAAAGAGGAGCUAAUCAUUAAAAAAAGUUAAAAUAUUAAACUAAGAUGGAUUGUCGUCUGUAAUUCGGCGACAUGAAAAAGGAAUUUCGAGUAAUCGUUGAUCACUACGCAACGGUGAAGCCUGCAUUCGGAAUGAACUAACCGUCUGUCGCUGGGAAGGAGCUUGGAUUCAUGGAAACUAUCAGUAGGUUAUUUAUUUUUUUCAAGGAAUCAAGGCUAUAUUAAUUAUAGUAUAAACUUCUUUGAUAAUAAACAAUUUAUUCUAGUGAAAUAAUUUGAGUGACAUCUCAAAAGUCAUAGCAAGGUAGCCGUACUGGAAAGUGCUGCUGGAAAAUAAAACUA
rnacentral:rRNA from 1 species